rnacentral:rRNA from 1 species
AUUGAACGCUGGCGGCAUGCCUUACACAUGCAAGUCGAACGGCGGCGGGGGAGAAGCUUGCUUUUCCUGCCGGCGAGUGGCGAACGGGUGAGUAAUACAUCGGAACGUGCCCUGUAGUGGGGGAUAACUAGUCGAAAGAUUAGCUAAUACCGCAUACGACCUGAGGGUGAAAGUGGGGGACCGCAAGGCCUCAUGCUAUAGGAGCGGCCGAUGUCUGAUUAGCUAGUUGGUGGGGUAAAGGCCUACCAAGGCGACGAUCAGUAGCUGGUCUGAGAGGACGAUCAGCCGCACUGGGACUGAGACACGGCCCAGACUCCUACGGGAGGCAGCAGUGGGGAAUUUUGGACAAUGGGCGAAAGCCUGAUCCAGCAAUGCCGCGUGUGUGAAGAAGGCCUUCGGGUUGUAAAGCACUUUUGUCCGGAAAGAAAUGGCUCUGGUUAAUACCUGGGGUCGAUGACGGUACCGGAAGAAUAAGGACCGGCUAACUACGUGCCAGCCGCCGCGGUAA